rnacentral:sRNA from 1 species
CAGACCAAACCUGCUGGGGACUGAUGUAAUGGAUGUGUCCAUCCAUCCCGGCGGCCGUGAGGAUCAGGUGUUCCCCGGCGAUGGCGUCGGUGGCGGUCCCGGUCGUCAGCCCAGGGGUCACGUUGUCCAUCGUGCUCGGGUUGCCCGCCUUGCCGAUGCCGACGAUCUUGCCGUUGCGAAUCCCGACAUCGGCCUUGACCACCCCCAAGAUCGGGUCCAGAACCGUGACGUUGGUGAUGACCAUGUCGAGGCAGCCGGAGGCCUGCGUGACCUGGUUGUCCGACCCCAUGCCG